UGCGAACGCUGGCGGCGUGCUUAACACAUGCAAGUCGAGCGAAGGUGUUUCAAGGGUAACCUUGAGAUACACUUAGCGGCGGACGGGUGAGUAAUACGUGGAUAACUUACCUCUAGGCCUGGGAUAACCCCGGGAAACUGGGGCUAAUACCUGAUAAGACCACAUUGUCUACGGACAAAGGGGUAAAAGGUGGCUGUGCAAACAGCUAUCGACCAAAAGAUAGGUUCACGUCCCAUCAGGCAGUUGGUGAGGUAAUGGCUCACCAAACCAAAGACGGGUAGCCGGCCUUGGCGGGUGAACGGCCACACGGGGACUGAGACACGGCCCCGACUCCUACGGGAGGCAGCAGUGGGGAAUAUUGGGCAAUGGGCGCAAGCCUGACCCAGCGACGUCGCGUUGGGAAGAAGGCCUGG
rnacentral:rRNA from 1 species